rnacentral:rRNA from 1 species
CAAUGGAAGCUUGCUUCCUGGCGGCCAGCGGCGGACGGGUGAGUAAUGCAUAGGAAUCUGCCCGAUAGUGGGGGAUAACGUGGGGAAACUCACGCUAAUACCGCAUACGUCCUACGGGAGAAAGCAGGGGAUCUUCGGACCUUGCGCUAUCGGAUGAGCCUAUGUCGGAUUAGCUAGUUGGUGAGGUAACGGCUCACCAAGGCGACGAUCCGUACCUGGUCUGAGAGGAUGAUCAGCCACACUGGGACUGAAACACGGCCCAUACUCCUACGGGAGGCAGCAGUGGGGAAUAUUGGACAAUGGGGGAAACCCUGAUCCAGCCAUGCCGCGUGUGUGAAGAAGGCCUUCGGGUUGUAAAGCACUUUCAGCGAGGAAGAAGGCCUGAGGGCUAAUACCCUUCAGGAAGGACAUCACUCGCAGAAGAAGCACCGGCUAACUCCGUGCCAGCAGCCGCGGUAAUACGGAGGGUGCGAGCGUUAAUCGGAAUUACUGGGCGUAAAGCGCGCGUAGGUGGCUUGAUAAGCCGGUUGUGAAAGCCCCGGGCUCAACCUGGGAACGGCAUCCGGAACUGUCAGGCUAGAGUGCAGGAGAGGAAGGUAGAAUUCCCGGUGUAGCGGUGAAAUGCGUAGAGAUCGGGAGGAAUACCAGUGGCGAAGGCGGCCUUCUGGACUGACACUGACACUGAGGUGCGAAAGCUGUGGGUAGCAAACAGGAUUAGAUACCCUGAUAGUCCACGCCGUAAACGAUGUCGACUAGCCGUUGGGUUCCUUGAGAACUUUUGUGGCGCAGUUAACGCGAUAAGUCGACCGCCUGGGGAGUACGGCC